GAGUUUUGAUCCUGGCUCAGGAUGAACGCUAGCUACAGGCUUAACACAUGCAAGUCGAGGGGAAACGACAUCGAAAGCUUGCUUUUGAUGGGNGUCGACCGGCGCACGGGUGAGUAACGCGUAUCCAACCUGCCCACCACUUGGGGAUAACCUUGCGAAAGUAAGACUAAUACCCAAUGAUAUCUCUAGAAGACAUCUGAAAAGAGAUUAAAAGAUUUUAUCGGUGAUGGAUGGGGAUGCGUCUGAUUAGCUUGUUGGCGGGGUAACGGCCCACCAAGGCAACGAUCAGUAGGGGUUCUGAGAGGAACGGUCCCCCACAUUGGAACUGAGACACGGUCCAAACUCCUACGGGAGCAGCA
rnacentral:rRNA from 1 species